GCACAAGCGGUGGAGCAUGUGGUUUAAUUCGACGCAACGCGCAGAACCUUACCAGGGUUUGACAUCCUGCGACCGCUCCCUAAUAGGAGUUUUCCCGCAAGGGACGCAGAGACAGGUGCUGCAUGGCUGUCGUCAGCUCGUGUCGUGAGAUGUUGGGUUAAGUCCCGCAACGAGCGCAACCCUCGCCUUUAGUUGCCAUCAUUCAGUUGGGCACUCUAGAGGGACCGCCGGCGACAAGCCGGAGGAAGGUGGGGAUGACGUCAAGUCCUCAUGGCCCUUACACCCUGGGCUACACACGUGCUACAAUGGCGGUGACAGUGGGCAGCUACUCAGCGAUGAGCGGCUAAUCCCAAAAAACCGCCCCAGUUCAGAUUGCACUCUGCAACUCGAGUGCAUGAAGGUGGAAUCGCUAGUAAUCGCAGAACAGCAGGCUGCGGUGAAUACGUUCCCGGGC
rnacentral:rRNA from 1 species